UACGAAGGGGGCUAGCGUUGUUCGGAAUUACUGGGCGUAAAGCGCGUGUAGGCGGGCCGUUAAGUCGGGGGUGAAAGCCCAGAGCUCAACUCUGGAACUGGCUUCGAUACUGGCGGCCUGGAGCAUGAUAGAGGCGAGUGGAAUUGCGAGUGUAGAGGUGAAAUUCGUAGAUAUUCGCAGGAACACCAGUGGCGAAGGCGACUCGCUGGAUCAUUGAUGACGUUGAGACGCGAAAGCGUGGGGAGCAAACAGG
rnacentral:rRNA from 1 species